CAGUAGCCGCGGGAAUACGAAGGGUGCAAGCGUUACUUGGAAUUACUGGGCGUAAAGCGUGCGUAGGUGGUGGUUUAAGUCCGUUGUGAAAGCCCUGGGCUCAACCUGGGAAUUGCAGUGGAUACUGGGUCACUAGAGUGUGGUAGAGGAUAGUGGAAUUUCCGGUGUAGCAGUGAAAUGCGUAGAGAUCGGAAGGAACAUCUGUGGCGAAGGCGACUAUCUGGGCCAACACUGACACUGAGGCACGAAAGCGUGGGGAGCAAACAGGAUUAGAUACCCCAGUAGUCCCUGUCUCUUAUAC
rnacentral:rRNA from 1 species